GGGCAGGAUAGGUUCAGUUCACCAUGAUAUAGGGGCAGGGGAGGUUCAGGGUGGGGCAGGAGAGGUUCAGUUCACCAUGAUAUAGGGGCAGGGGAGGUUCAGUUCACCAUGAUAUAGGGGCAGGAGAGGUUCAGGGUGGGGCAGGAGAGGUUCAUUUCACCAUGAUAUAUCGGCAGGAGAGGUUCAGUUCACCAUGAUAUAGGGGCAGGGGAGGUUUAGUUCACCAUGAUAUAGGGGCAGGAGAGGUUCAGGGUGGGGCAGGAGAGGUUCAGUUCACCAAGAUAUAGGGGCAGGAGAGGUUCAGCUCACCAUGAUAUAGGGGCAGGGGAGGGUCAGGGUGGGG